GCCCGGAUGGUCUAGUGGUAUGAUUCGCGCUUCGGGGUCAUUGAGUGUCGCUUGUUCCCACAAGCUCCAUUCAGUAUAAACCAGAAUAUGCGCGAGGUCCCGCGUUCGAAUCGCGGUUCGGGCC